rnacentral:rRNA from 1 species
GACGAACCGUGCAAACGUUUUUCGGAAUCACUGGGCUUAAAGGGCGCGUAGGCGGGUUCCCAAGUCGGUGGUGAAAUCUUUCGGCCCAACCGGAAAAGUGCCGCCGAUACUGGGAGUCUUGAGGGAGGUAGGGGUCGAGGGAACUAAUGGUGGAGCGGUGAAAUGCGUAGAUAUCAUUAGGAACGCCGGUGGCGAAAGCGCUCGACUGGACCUCUUCUGACGCUGAGGCGCGAAAGCCAGGGGAGCAAACGGG